ACUCUCAGCAUCAGACGAUGAAUUCAGUAAUCGAACGUCAAACAUUGACAUGAUCAUGUCUUUCGUGACGAUUUCGCGCCAAAUACUUGGCUGUUUGCUCUUGGUUUUAUUGUCGCGACAUGCUGACGCGAACAAA